rnacentral:lncRNA from 1 species
UUUUUUUUUUAAUUUUGUUAAACCAGGACAGGAAUUUUUUAUUAAUUAGCAACUAGCCCCAAUGUGGGAAUGAUUUCCAUUCUAAUACUAGGUUGUAUUAAUGGAUUUAGGUAAUGGGGUCUGUAUCAGAGUAAACUACAGGCUUCCAAACAAAAUGGCUUGUGUCUGUCUUUUGAUUCAAUUCAUAAAAUCUGAGACCUGGAGGGAACCUUGAAGAUCAUCUCAGCAGGGAGGCAAACAAAUGGUUCUGAGAUGAAACAGACUGAAGCAAGCAGAACUUUAUGAGGUUUGGUUUUAUGUCCUGUACCUCCAGCAGGCUGGGCCUCACCCCAGUGAGAGCAGUAUGGCAGCACAGCAUUGAGUAAGAAUAAGAACAAUACAAACAUUUGGACUUGUGUAGUAUUUUACAGUUUACAGAACUAUUUUGAUUUUUUUGCUUUUUUCUUUUGUUGCUGCAAAUUGAACCCAGGGCCUUGCGCAUGCUAGGAACAUAUUAUAUCAUUGGGCUAUUCCCCCAGUCCCCCAUUUUGACUUUUUGAGGCCUGAUAUCCUGUUUUAUUUUUGCUAGAUCAACUACAAAAAGCUAUAUUCACUCCUGUCCCCUGUCCCAUGUUGAUCAGUCUACCCAUAGUCUUCCCUGACAAAUCUCCUUUACCAGUUGUUUCUCAGGUCAAAAGCUUUGGAUACAACCUUGAUUCAUUUUCUUUUCUUAGACUCCACAUAUAAUUUUAUGAGAAAAUUCUGGCAGUUCUGCCUGCAAAAUAUGUCCAGAGUCCAUAUUUGUUGAUAUUUUAAAAUAAUUAUUCAUUUUUAGUGAGAAAAUCAUAUUAUGGCUAUAUAUUUUUAAAGAAUCCUUUUCUUUGAGAGGUACAUUCUGAAGGAUUUGCAGAAGCAAUAGCAAGCUAUCUGUCAUUUGUUUUCAAGUAAUCUCUUGAGGGGCUGAGGAUAUAGCUCAGUGGUAGAAUAUCUUCCUAGCAUGUGUAAGGCCCUGGAUUUGAUCUCCAGCCUUUCUCUCUCUCUCUCUCUCUCUCUCUCUCUCUCUCUAUAUAUAUAUAUAUAUAUAUAUAUAUAUAUAUAUAUAUAUAUAUAAAUUAUCUAGUAGAUGAGGAAGUGGGUAUGGGUAUAGAUGAAAUAAGACUAGCCAUGUACUGAUAAUAUCAAAAGUGGGUGAAGGGUGCAGGAGGAUUAUAGUACUCUGUACCUCUGCAUGUUUGAAGUUUUUCAUAAUAAAUUUACAAAACAACAUCUAAAUAG